AUUGAACGCUGGCGGCAGGCUUAACACAUGCAAGUCGAGCGGAGAGAGGUAGCUUGCUACUGAUCUUAGCGGCGGACGGGUGAGUAAUGCUUAGGAAUCUGCCUAUUAGUGGGGGACAACAUUUCGAAAGGAAUGCUAAUACCGCAUACGUCCUACGGGAGAAAGCAGGGGAUCUUCGGACCUUGCGCUCAUAGAUGAGCCUAAGUCGGAGUAGCUAGUUGGUGGGGUAAAGGCCUACCAAGGCGACGAUCUGUAGCGGGUCUGGGAGGAUGAUCCGCCACACUGGGACUGAGACACGGCCCAGACUCCUACGGGAGGCAGCAGUGGGGAAUAUUGGACAAUGGGCGCAAGCCUGAUCCAGCCAUGCCGCGUGUGUGAAGAAGGCCUUAUGGUUGUAAAGCACUUUAAGCGAGGAGGAGGCUACUUUGGUUAAUACCUAGAGAUAGUGGACGUUACUCGCAGAAUAAGCACCGGCCAACUCUGUGCCAGCCGCCGCGGUAAGAC
rnacentral:rRNA from 1 species